GAAUCACCUGGAGGGGGUGGUAAACUACAGCUGGGCGGGUCCCAGCGCUGGAGUUUCUGAUUCUGGGGCGGGGCCAAUGACUUGCACUUCGAAAUUCUCAGAUGCUGCCGCUGCCGCCGCUGCUGCUCCGGGGGACCACACUGGAAGCACCACUGUUCUAAAAACUGAAAAGGAGACACAACACAAUUCCUCGUUGCUGUGACCUGGGUGGAAGAGAGACUGGAUGGAGGCUGCUCGAAGUGGGCACCUGAGGAAAUCACAGUGGCUCAAGAAAUCG